rnacentral:tRNA from 1 species
UUUAGCUCAGCUGGUUUAGAGCAUCUGCCUUACAAGCAGAGGGUCGGGGGUUCGAAUCCCUCAA